rnacentral:rRNA from 1 species
GAGUUUGAUCGUGGCUCAGAACGAACGCUGGCGGCAGGCUUAACACAUGCAAGUCGAACGGGCGUAGCAAUACGUCAGUGGCGCACGGGUGAGUAACGCGUGGAUAUCUGCCUUUUGGUUCGGGAUAACCUUGGGAAACUAGGGCUAAUACCGAAUGGUUCCUACGGGAUAAAGAUUUAUCGCCAAAAGAUGAGUCCGCGUCCGAUUAGCUGGUUGGCGGGGUAACGGCCCACCAAGGCGACGAUCGGUAGCUGGUCUGAGAGGACGAUCAGCCACACUGGGACUGAGACACGGCCCAGACUCCUACGGGAGGCAGCAGUGGGGAAUAUUGGACAAUGGGGGCAACCCUGAUCCAGCCAUGCCGCGUGAGUGAUGAAGGCCUUC